rnacentral:rRNA from 1 species
UACGUAGGGGGCAAGCGUUGUCCGGAAUGACUGGGCGUAAAGGGCGUGUAGGCGGCCGAUUAAGUCUGGAGUGAAAGUCCUGUUUUUAAGGUGGGAAUUGCUUUGGAGACUGGUUGGCUUGAGUGCGGAAGCGGUAAGUGGAAUUCCCAGUGUAGCGGUGAAAUGCGUAGAGGUUGGGAGGAACACCAGUGGCGAAGGCGACUUACUGGGCCGUAACUGACGCUGAGGCGCGAAAGAGUGGGGAGCGAACAGGAUUAGAUACCCUGGUAGUCCACGCUGUAAACGAUGAAUGCUAGGUGUAGCGGGUAUCGACCCCUGCUGUGCCGCAGUAAACACAAUAAGCAUUCCGCCUGGGGAGUACGGCCGCAAGGUUGAA